GCUGGGCAUGGUGGUGCAUGCCUGUCAUCCCAGCAGCUCUGGAGGCUGAGUUAGGAGUAUCACAAGUUUAAAGCCAGCCUCAGCAACUUAGUGAUGCCGUGAGCAACUUAGUGAGAUUCUGUCUCAA
rnacentral:sRNA from 1 species